rnacentral:rRNA from 1 species
GGCGGACGGGUGAGUAAUGUCUGGGAAACUGCCUGAUGGAGGGGGAGUAACUACUGGAAACGGUAGCUAAUACCGCAUAACGUCGCAAGACCAAAGAGGGGGACCUUCGGGCCUCUUGCCAUCGGAUGUGCCCAGAUGGGAUUAGCUAGUAGGUGGGGUAACGGCUCACCUAGGCGACGAUCCCUAGCUGGUCUGAGAGGAUGACCAGCCACACUGGAACUGAGACACGGUCCAGACUCCUACGGGAGGCAGCAUG